AUGAACGCUGGCGGCGUGCCUAACACCUGCAAGUCGAACGAAGCACCUUACCUGAUUCUUCGGAUGAAAGUUUGGUGACUGAGUGGCGGACGGGUGAGUAACGCGUGGGUAACCUGCCCUGUACAGGGGGAUAACAGCUGGAAACGGCUGCUAAUACCGCAUAAGCGCACGAGGAGACAUCUCCUUGUGUGAAAAACUCCGGUGGUACAGGAUGGGCCCGCGUCUGAUUAGCUGGUUGGCAGGGUAACGGCCUACCAAGGCAACGAUCAGUAGCCGGUCUGAGAGGAUGAACGGCCACAUUGGAACUGAGACACGGUCCAAACUCCUACGGGAGGCAGCAGUGGGGAAUAUUGCACAAUGGGGGAAACCCUGAUGCAGCAACGCCGCGUGAGUGAAGAAGUAUUUCGGUAUGUAAAGCUCUAUCAGCAGGGAAGAUAAUGACGGUACCUGACUAAGAAGCUCCGGCUAAAUACGUG
rnacentral:rRNA from 1 species